GAAGUGUAGCGGGCUAUCGCUUAACUUUUCAAGAACACAGUUGUUGAGAUAUGUUAGGAGGAAAGUCUGGACUUCAUAUGGCAGGAUACUGGCUAAAGGCCAGGCGAGGUAACUCGACGGAAAGUGCAACAGAAAGUAAACCGCCUAAGCAAUACAUUUUGUGUAUAAGCCGGCAAGGCUGAAACGGUGAGGUAAGAGCUCACCAGCGAUAUGGUGACAUAUUGGCUCGGUAAACCCUAUCUGAAGCAAGAUCAAACAAAGGCAUAUUCUAAAGAAUAAGCACCGGCCAGGUGUGGCCUUGGGUAGAUCGCAUGAGGGUGCAGGUAACUGUACUCCAAGAUAAAUGAUAGCCUCCACUUUUAUGCUAUGUGUAAACAUGGGUAUAAAAGUGAAGACAGAAUCCAGCUUACAGCUAAACUUGCAAA
rnacentral:RNase_P_RNA from 1 species